rnacentral:rRNA from 1 species
UACGGAAGGCAGCAGUGGGGAAUAUUGCACAAUGGGCGCAAGCCUGAUGCAGCCAUGCCGCGUGUAUGAAGAAGGCCUUCGGGUUGUAAAGUACUUUCAGCGGGGAGGAAGGCGAUGUGGUUAAUAACCGCGUCGAUUGACGUUACCCGCAGAAGAAGCACCGGCUAACUCCGUGCCAGCAGCCGCGGUAAUACGGAGGGUGCAAGCGUUAAUCGGAAUUACUGGGCGUAAAGCGCACGCAGGCGGUCUGUUAAGUCAGAUGUGAAAUCCCCGGGCUUAACCUGGGAACUGCAUUUUGAAACUGGCAGGCUUGAGUCUCGUAGAGGGGGUAGAAUUCCAGGUGUAGCGGUGAAAUGCGUAGAGAUCUGGAGGAAUACCGGUGGCGAAGGCGGCCCCUGGGCGAAGACUGACGCUCAGGUGCGAAAGCGUGGGGAGCAAACAGGAUUAGAUACC